rnacentral:rRNA from 1 species
AGUAACGGCGAGUGGAGCGGCAACAGCUCAAAUUUGAAAUCUGGCCCUCUGGGCUCGAGUUGUAAUUUGCAGAGGAUGCUUCCGCGACGGCCCCGAGCCAAGUCCCUUGGAACAGGGCGUCCGAGAGGGUGAGAGCCCCGUCUUCGCCCGGGGCGCCAGUCGCGGCACGAAGCUUCUUCGAC